rnacentral:rRNA from 1 species
GGUGAACGCUGGCGGCGUGCUUGACACAUGCAAGUCGAACGGUAUGUGGCAACACAUAGAGUGGCGAACGGGUGAGUAACACGUGGGAACGUACCCUACGCAGGGGGAUAACUGACCGAAAGGACAGCUAAUACCGCAUAAGACCGAAAGGUGAAAGGUGCAACUGCACCGGCGAAGGAGCGGCCCGCGGACCAUCAGCUAGUUGGUGGGGUAAGAGCCUACCAAGGCAACGACGGAUAGCCGGCGUGAGAGCGUGGCCGGCCACAAGGACACUGAGAUACGGGUCCUACUCCUACGGGAGGCAGCAGUGCGGAAUUUUAGAUAAUGGAGGCAACUCUGAUCUAGCGACGCCGCGUGCAGGAAGAAGGUCUUCGGAUUGUAAACUGCUGUGGUAAGGGAAAAAUGCCAUGUAGAGUGGAAAGCUACAUGGAGGGAUGGUACUUUACUAGAAAGCCCCGGCUAACUACGUGCCAGCAGCCGCGGUAAUACGUAGGGGGCGAGCGUUACCCGGAAUCACUGGGCGUAAAGGGAGCGUAGGUGGCCUGACAUGUCAACUGUGAAAACCCGGAGCUCAACUCCGGACUUGCAGUUGAAACUGCCAGGCUUGUGGACGGUAGAGGAAGACGGAACUGCCAGUGUAGGGGUAAAAUCCUUAGAUAUUGGCAGGAACGCCGGUGACGAAGGUGGUUUUCUGGGCCGGUUCUGACACUGAUGCUCGAAAGCCAGGGGAGCGAACG